rnacentral:lncRNA from 1 species
UGAGCUAACACAGCCGUGUUUACAUUACACACAUUCUCAAGUUGCUGACUUUUUUUUUUUGUUCCUCCAUAAGGAAGAAGAUGCAACACAGACAAAUGAUUCUAUUUGAUGUGAUGUUAAGUCAAACUGGACCAAUGGCUGACACUUUCUACUUGGAUUAACUACGUUGUGUUCCCAUUCUUUCCAGUCAUGCUCGUUUCUUAUCAAAGUUGAAGAAACCAGUAAUUUCAGAAGAUCUGAUCUUAAAAAAAAGUCUUUCCCACCAGUCUUUUAAGCUGGCUAGAGUUUUGAAAGGCUAAGAAGCCAAUGGACUCCUUGAAUGCUAAGAACACCGCCUGAGUCCUUGGUUGUCUCCAAAUGGGUAAUCAGCCCAUCGCCGUCUUUCUCUUCUGGGUUUCUCCAAGCUUGAUCCAGCACUCAUCUCUGUGCCUUUACACCUCUCCAAGACUGGACCCACACUAG